rnacentral:rRNA from 1 species
GGCUCAGAAUCAACGCUGGCGGCGCGCUUAACACAUGCAAGUCGAACGGGAAAGGGGAGCAAUCCCUGAGUACAGUGGCGUACGGGUGAGUAACACGUGGAUCAUCUACCUCCUGGUGGGGAAUAACUUUGGGAAACCGAAGCUAAUACCGCAUAAGCCCGAAAGGGGAAAGGCGCAAGUCGCCGGGAGAGGAGUCCGCGGCCGAUUAGCUAGUUGGUAGGGUAAAAGCCUACCAAGGCUGAGAUCGGUAGCCGGCCUGAGAGGGCACACGGCCACACUGGCACUGAAACACGGGCCAGACUCCUACGGGAGGCAGCAGUGGGGAAUCUUGCACAAUGGGGGAAACCCUGAUGCAGCGACGCCGCGUGAGCGAUGAAGCCCUUCGGGGUGUAAAGCUCUUUCGACAGGAACGAUAAUGACGGUACCUGGAGAAGAAGCUGCGGCUAACUACGUGCCAGCAGCCGCGGUAAUACGUAGGCAGCAAGCGUUGUUCGGAGUUACUGGGCGUAAAGAGUAUGUAGGCGGUUAUCCAAGUCUGGUGUGAAAUCUCCCGGCUCAACUGGGAGGGUGCGCCGGAUACUGGGUGACUGGAGCGUGGGAGAGGAAAGCGGAAUUCCUGGUGUAGCGGUGAAAUGCGUAGAUAUCAGGAGGAACACCAGCGGUGUAGACGGCUUUCUGGACCACGGCUGACGCUGAGAUACGAAAGCGUGGGUAGCAAACAGGAUUAGAUACCCUGGUAGUCCACGCCCUAAACGAUGCACACUUGGUGUGAGCCAUUCAUUUGGUUCGUGCCGGAGCUAACGCGUUAAGUGUGCCGCUUGGGGAGUACGGUCGCAAGGCUGAAACUUUAAU